CAAAACCAAGUAAUUAGUAUUUGGAAUAUACUGUAUGCAAAACCAAGUAUUUUUAAAAUCAAAAGUCUUUUCCCAAAUUAUCAUGCCUGGCUGAAUUACCGGUACUAGCCUUCCUUGUAAGUUAAUCUACAGCCUGGCUGAAUUACCGGUACUAGCCUUCCUUGUAAGUUAAUCUACAGCCCUACUCAAAAUUAGGGUGUUAAAUUUCUUCUUCACCAGCUUUUUCAACAUGGUGGGCUUAUGUUUAUUCCUUUGGGUGGCCUCGUGUUUUAGCUAUAUCAGGUCCCUUAAUGUAAAUAAAUGUGAUACAUGAUUUCUGGCAUCUGAAGCUUGUCUUGUUGUUGAUUACUGUUCCAACUCUUUAUAAUUCCCAUAAUUCAUCGCUGC
rnacentral:lncRNA from 1 species